UCAAGAGAUCCACGAGGACCCAGAGGAGGAGGCGACGAGUGCUCGUCAUAGGCGACUCCAUCCUGAGAGGUACGGAAGGACCCAUCUGUCGCCAGGACCCCUCGGCACGAGAGUGACCGGACGAGGAAGACGGCAGGAGAACUGCAUCCGAGAGACCAACUGGCGGCUUCGGCAGUGGUGUCUCGAGGAAGGCUUCAGAUUUCUGGACAACGACCCGCACAUCACGACGAGGGACUGGGACGAUGCUCAGCUGGGAUGGGCUUCACCUGUCCCCCAAAGGGUGCGUUGGAGGGAUAGCGUUGGGAGGAGCUCAGUCCUUUCCAGAGUCCUGCUGGUUGCAAGCCACUUGAGAUUUUGUUUCUACUGGCAGCUGGCCACACAAGAGCUGCAUAUUUUCAAAAGCUGUGAAGUUGGAGAGACAAGGAAAGAAGGGACUGGCAUCAAGACAGUUUCUGCAUCUAGUCUGGUCCUAAUCCUGAACUAUCCACUGGAGCCACUGAGAGUGGAUUCAGGAGAUUGGAGAAGCCAAGAGAAUGGAAAAGAAUCAGUACUCCUCAAGAAGUGACUGACAACUUGUUGGGUUUAUUCAUUUUUUUUAAAAAUAAAGCACAUUGUCUGCAGUUUA